UACGAAGGGGGCUAGCGUUGUUCGGAAUUACUGGGCGUAAAGCGCACGUAGGCGGACAUUUAAGUUGGAGGUGAAAGCCUUGGGCUCAACCCAAGAAUUGCCUUUGAUACUGGAUGUCUCGAGACCGGGAGAGGUGAGUGGAAUUCCGAGUGUAGAGGUGAAAUUCGUAGAUAUUCGGAAGAACACCAGUGGCGAAGGCGGCUCACUGGCCCGGUUCUGACGCUGAGGUGCGAAAGCGUGGGGAGCAAACAGG
rnacentral:rRNA from 3 species